CAGAAUAUAGUUUAUUCAAAAUAUUAAUUUUGGAGAUUAAAGAAAAUUAAAGAUUUAUUCUGA
rnacentral:tRNA from 1 species